rnacentral:tRNA from 2 species
GGCGCCGUGGCAGAGUGGUCUAAUGCGAUAGACUAGAAAUCUAUUCUCUUCGGAGGCGUCUGUUCGAAUCAGGCCGGCGUCG